rnacentral:rRNA from 1 species
GACGAACGCUGGCGGCGUGCUUAACACAUGCAAGUCGAACGAGACGAUUGAAAGCUUGCUUUUAAAAGUAGAGUGGCAAACGGGUGAGUAACGCGUAGACAACCUGCCUUUGAGAUGGGGACAACAGUUCGAAGGGACUGCUAAUACCGAAUGUUGUAUAUUUUCCACAUGGAAGAUAUAUUAAAGAUGGCCUCUAUUUAUAAGCUAUCGCUCAAAGAUGGGUCUGCGUCUGAUUAGCUAGUUGGUGGGGUAACGGCCUACCAAGGCGACGAUCAGUAGCCGGUCUGAGAGGAUGAACGGCCACAUUGGGACUGAGACACGGCCCAGACUCCUACGGGAGGCAGCAGUGGGGAAUCUUCCACAAUGGACGAAAGUCUGAUGGAGCAACGCCGCGUGAGUGAAGAAGGGUUUCGGCUCGUAAAGCUCUGUUGUCGGGGACGAAUGUGCAGUAUUUGAAUAAAGUACUGCAAUGACGGUACCUGACGAGGAUGCCACGGCUAACUACGUGCCAGCCGCCGCGGUAAAAC